GGCCUGUGCAAUCUGGCUGUGACAUGAUUGAUUGCCAGCAUUGAUUUGGUGGAUCUGGCUGGCUAGGUGGGUGUGCCCAUCCUCCCUCAGCGUUCCAUGUAUGAUUCUCCCUAAGCUGUAUGCUUAGUUGAAAAGGACUGAAGAGAAUGACCAUCCCUGCUAGAGGAGGAUGGUUCUUUGGUCAAGGGCAUAUGAGUAGCUGUGCUCCCCUUCUAGAAACUCCAAACAUGCUUUUGAGCAAUGGCCUGUGUGUGCAACUAAGUAACAUCUUCAGUCUUCAUUCUUCUAAAAGGUUUUGCUUU
rnacentral:snRNA from 1 species